AAUGAACGUUGGCGGCGUGGAUUAGGCAUGCAAGUCGAGCGAGAACCCCGCAAGGGGGGACAGCGGCAAACGGGGUAGUAAUGUGUCGGAACGUGCCCUCUGGACGGGGAUAGCGGCGGGAAACUGCCGGUAAUACCCGAUGAACGCGAGAGAGCAAAGGUGUGAUUCAGCCGGAGGAGCGGCCGAAAUGGUAUUAGCUAGUUGGCGGGGUAACGGCCGACCAAGGCUGUGAUGCCUAGGGGAUGUGAGAGCACGAUCCCCACCAUUGGGACUGAGACACUGCCCAGACACCUACGGGUGGCUGCAGUCGAGAAUCUUCGUCAAUGGGCGAAAGCCUGAACGAGCGACGCCGCGUGCGGGAUGAAGGCCCUUGGGUUGUAAACCGCUGUCGAGGGGGAUGAAGGCUGGAAGGUACUCCUUCCAGUUUGACAGAGCCCUGGAGGAAGCACGGGCUAAGUUCGUGCCAGCAGCCGCGGUAACAC
rnacentral:rRNA from 1 species